GAUGAAGAACGCAGCGAAAUGCGAUAAGUAAUGUGAAUUGCAGAAUUCAGUGAAUCAUCGAAUCUUUGAACGCACCUUGCGCCCUUUGGCCAUUCCGAAGGGCAUGCCUGUUUGAGUAUCAUGAACACCUCAACUCUUCAUGGUUUUCCAUGAUGAGCUUGGACUUUGGGGGUCUUGCUGGCCUGUGGGUCGGCUCCUCUCAAAUGAAUCAGCUUGCCGGUUUUUGGUGGGCAUCACAGGUGUGAUAACUAUCUACGCUUGUGGUUUUCCACCAGGGUAACCUUCAGCAGUGGAGGUUCACUGGAGCUUACAAAUGUCUCUCCUCUGUGAGGACAGCCCUUUGAAUGUUUGAUCACAAAUCAGGUAGGACUACCCGCUGAACUUAAGCAUAUCAAUAAGCGGAGGA
rnacentral:misc_RNA from 1 species